GGCUUCAUGGUGUAGUGGUUAUCACAUCUGCCUUACACGCAGAAGGUUCUGGGUUCAAUCCCCAGUGAAGUCA